rnacentral:lncRNA from 1 species
GGGGAUCAAGAUUGGUCUCUUAGCGCGACGAACUUCCAACAGAAUAGCAUCAUAAUAGGAACGUUUAUCGGAUGCGAAGCCCACAAACGUUCCAAUGAACACAUUAGAGAGAAUUGGGAGACUCCUCAAGGUUAACCUCCAUCUUUUUUUCAGCAAAUUCGGCGAAAUAUAGCUAAACAAUAGUAAAGGCUCUAUCACCACUCGGAUCCCAGAUCCCCACCACAAAAGAACUCAGAGAGAUGGGAAUAAAGACUGCAACCAACAACCCUAUCCGCCGAAAAUCGCGCCCAACACCGAGGAUCCUAGAACACACCAGAUCCAUUCGAUCCAAGAACUUCUAGAAGCUAACCACCAAUAAACUCCCAACUAGCACCACCAGCACCUCGCGAAAAUCCCUAUCACAACCCUCAUCACCAAGUCAACAUGAAGGCUACAGACCCACACAGCCACACAACCACGCAAGAGUCGAGAACUA